CCUACGGGAGGCAGCAGUGAGGAAUAUUGGUCAAUGGACGAGAGUCUGAACCAGCCAAGUAGCGUGAAGGAUGACUGCCCUAUGGGUUGUAAACUUCUUUUAUAUGGGAAUAAAAUGUUCCACGUGUGGGAUUUUGUAUGUACCAUAUGAAUAAGGAUCGGCUAACUCCGUGCCAGCAGCCGCGGUAAUACGGAGGAUCCGAGCGUUAUCCGGAUUUAUUGGGUUUAAAGGGAGCGUAGGCGGAUUGUUAAGUCAGUUGUGAAAGUUUGCGGCUCAACCGUAAAAUUGCAGUUGAAACUGGCAGUCUUGAGUACAGUAGAGGUGGGCGGAAUUCGUGGUGUAGCGGUGAAAUGCUUAGAUAUCACGAAGAACUCCGAUUGCGAAGGCAGUUCACUGGACUGCAACUGACACUGAGGCUCGAAAGUGUGGGUAUCAAACAGGAUUAGAUACCCGUGUAGUC
rnacentral:rRNA from 1 species